AGGGAAUCUUCGGCAAUGGGCGAAAGCCUGACCGAGCAACGCCGCGUGAAUGAUGAAGGCCUUCGGGUUGUAAAAUUCUGUUAUAAGGGAAGAACGACUUUAGUAGGAAAUGGCUAGAGUGUGACGGUACCUUAUGAGAAAGCCACGGCUAACUACGUGCCAGCAGCCGCGGUAAUACGUAGGUGGCGAGCGUUAUCCGGAAUUAUUGGGCGUAAAGAGCGCGCAGGUGGUUGAUUAAGUCCGAUGUGAAAGCCCACGGCUUAACCGUGGAGGGUCAUUGGAAACUGGUCGACUUGAGUGCAGAAGAGGGAAGUGGAAUUCCAUGUGUAGCGGUGAAAUGCGUAGAGAUAUAGAGGAACACCAGUGGCGAAGGCGGCUUCCUGGUCUGUAACUGACACUGAGGCGCGAUAGCGUGGGGAGCAAAC
rnacentral:rRNA from 1 species